rnacentral:rRNA from 1 species
UACGGGAGGCAGCAGUGGGGAAUAUUGCACAAUGGGCGAAAGCCUGAUGCAGCUAUGCCGCGUGUAUGAAGAAGGCCUUAGGGUUGUAAAGUACUUUCAUCGGGGAGGAAAAAACAAAACUAAUAAUUUUAUUUCUUGACGUUACCCGAAAAAGAAGCACCGGCUAACUCCGUGCCAGCAGCCGCGGUAAUACGGAGGGUGCUAGCGUUAAUCAGAAUUACUGGGCGUAAAGAGCACGUAGGUGGUUUUUUAAGUCAGAUGUGAAAUCCCUGGGCUUAACCUAGGAACUGCAUUUUGAAACUGAAAUACUAGAGUAUCGUAGAGGGAGGUAGAAUUCUAAGUGUAGCGGUGAAAUGCGUAGAUAUCUGGAGGAAUACCUGUGGCGAAAGCGGCCUCCUAAACGAAUACUGACACUGAGGUGCGAAAGCGUGGGGAGCAAACAGGGAUUAGAUACC